UACCAGCACCCCCGAGUGGUCGGGACGAUUAUUGGGCCUAAAGCAUCCGUAGCCGGUUCUACAAGUCUUCCGUUAAAUCCACCUGCUUAACAGAUGGGCUGCGGAGGAUACUAUAGAGCUAGGAGGCGGGAGAGGCAAGCGGUACUUAGUGGGUAGGGGUAAAAUCCGUUGAUCCAUUGAAGACCACCAGUGGCGAAGGCGGCUUGCCAGAACGCACUCGACGGUGAGGGA
rnacentral:rRNA from 1 species